rfam:Triticum aestivum genome assembly, contig: Triticum_aestivum_CS42_TGACv1_scaffold_034847_1BL
UGUGUACUCCCUCCGUUCCAAAAUACUUGACUUCCAUUUGUCCAAAAAUGGAUGUACCUAUAUACUAAAACAUGUCUAGAUACAUAUAUAUUUUGGCAAAUAGAAGGCAUGUAUUGUGCAACGGAGGGAGUAGAAU